GAUGAACGCUGGCGGCGUGCCUAAUACAUGCAAGUAGAACGCUGAAGCUUGGUGCUUGCACCGAGCGGAUGAGUUGCGAACGGGUGAGUAACGCGUAGGUAACCUGCCUCUUAGCGGGGGAUAACUAUUGGAAACGAUAGCUAAUACCGCAUAAAAGUCGAUAUCGCAUGAUAUUGAUUUGAAAGGUGCAAAUGCAUCACUAAGAGAUGGACCUGCGUUGUAUUAGCUAGUUGGUGAGGUAACGGCUCACCAAGGCGACGAUACAUAGCCGACCUGAGAGGGUGAUCGCCCACACUGGGACUGAGACACGGCCCAGACUCCUACGGGAGGCAGCAGUAGGGAAUCUUCGGCAAUGGGGGCAACCCUGACCGAGCAACGCCGCGUGAGUGAAGAAGGUUUUCGGAUCGUAAAGCUCUGUUGUAAGAGAAGAACGAGUGUGAGAGUGGAAAGUUCACACUGUGACGGUAACUUACCAGAAAGGGACGGCUAACUACGUG
rnacentral:rRNA from 1 species